rnacentral:rRNA from 1 species
AAUGAACGUUGGCGGUGUGGAUUAGGCAUGCAAGUCGUGCGCGAAACGUAGCAAUACGUGGAGAGCGGCGAAAGGGAGAGUAAUACAUAGGUACCUACCCCGGGUCUGGGAUAGCGGCGGGAAACUGCCGGUAAUACCAGAUAAUGUCUCCGGACCAAAGGUGUGAUUCCACCUGGGGAGGGGCCUGUGGCCUAUUAGCUUGUUGGCGAGGUAAUGGCUCACCAAGGCAAAGAUGGGGUAUGGGGCGUGAGAGCGUGCCCCCACUCACUGGGACUGAGAUACUGCCCAGACACCUACGGGAGGCUG